UGGGGAAUAUUGGACAAUGGGCGCAAGCCUGAUCCAGCCAUGCCGCGUGAGUGAUGAAGGCCCUAGGGUUGUAAAGCUCUUUCACCGGUGAAGAUAAUGACGGUAACCGGAGAAGAAGCCCCGGCUAACUUCGUGCCAGCAGCCGCGGGAAUACGAAGGGGGCUAGCGUUGUUCGGAUUUACUGGGCGUAAAGCGCACGUAGGCGGACUUUUAAGUCAGGGGUGAAAUCCCGGGGCUCAACCCCGGAACUGCCUUUGAUACUGGAAGUCUUGAGUAUGGUAGAGGUGAGUGGAAUUCCGAGUGUAGAGGUGAAAUUCGUAGAUAUUCGGAGGAACACCAGUGGCGAAGGCGGCUCACUGGACCAUUACUGACGCUGAGGUGCGAAAGCGUGGGGAGCAAACAGG
rnacentral:rRNA from 1 species